rnacentral:rRNA from 1 species
UACAGAGGGGGCGAGCGUUGUUCGGAAUUACUGGGCGUAAAGGGCGCGUAGGCGGCCCGCUAAGUCGAACGUGAAAUCCCCAGGCUCAACCUGGGAACUGCGUCCGAUACUGGCAGGCUUGAAUCCGGGAGAGGGAUGUGGAAUUCCAGGUGUAGCGGUGAAAUGCGUAGAUAUCUGGAGGAACACCGGUGGCGAAGGCGGUUCUCUGGGAAUGUCCUGACGCUGAGGAGCGAAAGUGUGGGGAGCGAACAGG